UGAUCCUGCCAGUAGUCAUAUGCUUGUCUUAAAGAUUAAGCCAUGCAUGCCUCAGUAUAAGUGUUUUACUGCGAAACUGCGAAUGGCUCAUUAAAACAGUUAUAGUUUCUUUGACGAUCACUUGAUAUUUGGAUACCUAUGGUAAUUCUAGAGCUAAUACAUGCUUUUGAACCCGACUUCGCGGUAGGGUUGUGCUUAUUAGAUACCGAACCAACCCAGGUCUCCUGGUCUUUUAGUUGAUUCAUAAUAAGUCAGCGAAUCGCCCGCUUCAGACGAUGAGUCUUUCAAGUUUCUGACCUAUCAGCUUCCGACGGUAGGAUAUGGGCCUACCGUGGCUUUGACGGGUAACGGAGAAUUGGGGUUCUGUUCCGGAGAGGGAGCCUGAGAAACGGCUACCACAUCUAAGGAAGGCAGCAGGCGCGUAAAUUACCCAAUCCUGACACAGGGAGGUAGUGACAAGAAAUACCAAUAUAAGGCUUACAUGUCUUGUAAUUGGGAUGAGUAUAAUUUAAAUCGCGUAGCGUAGUAUCGAUUGGAGGGCAAGUCU
rnacentral:rRNA from 1 species